GUAGGUGGCUAGCGUUGUCCGGGAAUUAUUGGGGCGUAAAGCGCGCGCAGGCGGUUCUUUAAGUCUGAUGUGAAAGCCCACGGGCUCAACCGUGGAGGGUCAUUGGAAACUGGAGAACUUGAGUACAGAAGAGGAAAGCGGAAUUCCACGUGUAGCGGUGAAAUGCGUAGAGAUGUGGAGGAACACCAGUGGCGAAGGCGGCUUUCUGGUCUGUAACUGACGCUGAGGCGCGAAAGCGUGGGGAGCAAACAGGAUUAGAUACCCUGGUAGUCCACGCCGUAAACGAUGAGUGCUAAGUGUUAGGGGGUUUCCGCCCCUUAGUGCUGCAGCUAACGCAUUAAGCACUCCGCCUGGGGAGUACGGCCGCAAAGGCUG
rnacentral:rRNA from 1 species